UGAGUGAGACACCAUGGAAUGCUCGGAGCUGCCCUGCAGAGUCCUUGUAGCAGCUUCAUAAAACUUACCCAAGUGCCUUUGAAUUACGACCUUCCAAAUAUCCACUGGUCAAGGGUAACUGGAAUUUUGAAACCAGAAUGAAUGCAGGGUUGAUACUGGAGCUGGGCUGCACUCCAUAAAGGCUACUCACUGAGAGCUCUAUCACAGUGACUGAGAGGGAAGGACAGGACUUCAUUCUUCAGUGCAAACCAACCCCCCCAGAAGGGCUGCAAAGAACUGAAAUCAAUCUGAAGAAAAGCUAUUAAUAAUUCUUUUCAUAUAGCCUUACCCUGAGGCAGUUGAGCUUCUAAGGCUGAUCCUUAAGAAUGUCACCAAUGUGGUGACACCAUCUCGAUGCAGGUGAUAUUAGCACCUACCAGUACUGGCUUCACGUUCAGGGCAGGUUGAAAGAUCUCCUAUUUGCAUGCCAUUCAUUUCUCAGAGCACUACGUGUGCGUUGUGGUGAUAGGUACUGUGCAAACACAACAGGGAGACAUCGGACACCUUUCCGAGACAUUUC
rnacentral:lncRNA from 1 species